rnacentral:rRNA from 1 species
AAUAUUGCACAAUGGAGGGAACUGUGAUGCAGCGACGCCGCGUGAGUGAAGAAGGUAUUCGAAACGUAACACACUGUCCUUAGAGAAAAAAAAAAUCACGGUAGCCAAGGAGGAAGCCCCGGAUACCUCCAUGCCAGAAGCCGCGGUAAUACGUAGGGGGCGAGCGUUGUCCGGAUUUACUGGGGUUAAAGGGUGAGUAGGCGGUUGUAUAUGUCAGGGGUAAAAGGCUAUGGCUUAACCAUAGUUAGCACUUGAAACUGUACAACUUGAGUGCAGGAGAGGUGAGUGGAAUUCCUAGUGUAGCGGUGAAAUGCGUAGAUAUUAGGAGGAACACCAGUGGCGAAGGCGACUUACUGGACUGUAACUGACGCUGAGUCACGAAAGCGUGGGUAGCAAACA